GACGAACGCUGGCGGCGUGCUUAACACAUGCAAGUCGAACGAAGUGGCGAACGGGUGAGUAACGCGUAAUCAACCUGCCCUUCAGUGGGGGCCAACAGUUGGAACCGACUGCUAAUACCGCAUACUGAAGGAGGGGAUUGCGUCGGAUUAGCUAGGUGGGGGGGUAACGGCCCACCAAGGCGAUGAUCAGUAGCCGGGCUGGGAGGAUGAACGAGCACCAUGGGACUGGGAAACGGGCCAGAAUCCUACGGGAGGCAGCAGGGGGGAAUCUUCCGCAAUGGACGAAAGUCUGACGGAGCAACGCCGGGGGGGUGAUGACGGCCUUCGGGUUGUAAAGCUCUGUUAAUCGGGACGCGGUACCGGAAUAGAAAGCCACGGCUAACUACGUGCCAGCAGCCGCGGUAAUAC
rnacentral:rRNA from 1 species